rnacentral:rRNA from 1 species
UACGAAGGGGGGAAGGGGAAAGAGGAAGUACUGGGCGUAAAGGGUGCGUAGGCGGUUUGUUAAGUCUGUUGUGAAAUCCCCGGGCUCAACCUGGGAAUGGCAAUGGAUACUGGCAAGCUAGAGUGUGUCAGAGGAUGGUGGAAUUUCCGGUGUAGCGGUGAAGUGCGUAGAGAUCGGAAGGAACAUCAGUGGCGAAGGCGGCCAUCUGGGACAACACUGACGCUGAAGCACGAAAGCGUGGGGAGCAAACAGG